rnacentral:tRNA from 1 species
CGGUUGAUAGCUUAUAAGGUAAAGCAUGUGGCUCAUAACUACAAAGUAGUUGGUUCAAGCCCAUCUCAACCGA